UACGGAGGGUGCGAGCGUUAAUCGGAAUUACUGGGCGUAAAGCGCACGCAGGUGGCUGAGUCAGUCGAUUGUGAAAGCCCUGGGCUUAACCUGGGAAUUGCAGUCGAUACUACUCAGCUAGAGUAUGGGAGAGGGCAGUGGAAUUCCCGGUGUAGCGGUGAAAUGCGUAGAUAUCGGGAGGAACAUCAGUGGCGAAGGCGGCUGCCUGGCCCAAUACUGACACUCAGGUGCGACAGCGUGGGGAGCAAACAGG
rnacentral:rRNA from 1 species